ACUACAAUAAGUAAACGGUGUGAAGCAGAUCAAACGACAUUGCGCGUGACGGCGAGACGACGCCUAGACGAGCCUAACGCGAAAGCGAGUUAACGGAAAAUGUUCAUAGCUCAAAAAGGCUCGUACCAGCACUCUGCGUCGCUUUUAUCUCCUUCCUCAAUGUCUCCCUCAGCUCAUACCGUCGCACCAGAAAAAGCAGCAGCAGGUCACGCAAAUUGUCCUUGGUAGCAUGAGAUUGCUUCACGUCGCGCCCAAGGACGUUGGGAUCGAAUCCCAACCAUCUAUUUCUCCUUUCCCGCUUCAGAAUGGUUUGAACCUUCAGAAAAUGGUGUCUUGCCAGAAAUGGUGAAAUUUUUGAAGUUUGAUUUUCGAUUUUUGUCCUUGUCUUAUUGAUUUUUCACCCCUUUCCCCCAAAAAAAUUGAACCCUAAUUUUUGCCUAUACAUAGUCUCUUCAUCUUCAAUCAGGGGGAAGUUUUUUUUAAAUAAAUUGGAGAAUUGUAGUCAAAAAUUUUUUUACUAAGGCAAAAAGAAAGUUUGAGCAAAAAAUACUUUAGUACACACUAAAUACACUUCAAGGAAAAGAAAGGGAGUGCUUUUAUUGUUAAUGCGUUGGGUUUGAAACCUUUCUCGACUGUUGUCCGUGUCGUUAUUUGCGUGGUGGAGGUCAUUGUUAUCUAUCUUUGCUCGUUGCUAUCCCAAUUUUGCUGCACUUCGAAAGGCCAUAGAGGCCUAAAAACUUUUCAUCUAGUCAGCCAAGUCUGUGGAAUUGACACACAGGUGGAAGACGAUGAAUAGAUGGCUGAAAUUUUUUGAUUUUUCAGACUCUAAAAAGCCUGAAAAUAGGUGAUAUACCUAUUGUAUACACUGUAAUACAGCCAAAAAUAUGAUUUAUGGGUUGCUAAAAAUGUCAGAACAUAGAUCGUAAAAUACAGCUCGGAGUUGAUGAAAAGAAUAAUCAUAUGACAAAAUACGGACCAAAAUACGGUCUGUAUACACUGGUAUACCUCAGUGUAUACAGAAACUUGGAAGGAGAAAUAGGCCCAAAAUCCUUGAAAAGUUUGUUUUGUCCAGCAGGUCUUGUAGCAGACAAUGGGCUCAAAGGACCAAAUUUGAUACCUCUAUCUUUCUCUUUAUUUUUGUAGCCACUAAGCUAUUAUUUUAGUUUGGAAAAAUAACUUAAAUACACAACUAUAAGUUUAGUAUUCUCUAA